rnacentral:rRNA from 1 species
AGUUGUGGGGUCCAUUCCACGGAUUCCGUGACGCAGCUAACGCAUUAAGUUCCCCGCCUGGGGAGUACGGCCGCAAGGCUAAAACUCAAAGGAAUUGACGGGGACCCGCACAAGCGGCGGAGCAUGCGGAUUAAUUCGAUGCAACGCGAAGAACCUUACCAAGGCUUGACAUAUACGAGAACGGGCCAGAAAUGGUCAACUCUUUGGACACUCGUAAACAGGUGGUGCAUGGUUGUCGUCAGCUCGUGUCGUGAGAUGUUGGGUUAAGUCCCGCAACGAGCGCAACCCUCUUUCUAUGUUGCCAGCACGUAAUGGUGGGAACUCAUGGGAUACUGCCGGGGUCAACUCGGAGGAAGGUGGGGAUGACGUCAAAUCAUCAUGCCCCUUAUGUCUUGGGCUUCACGCAUGCUACAAUGGCCGGUACAAAGGGCUGCAAUACCGCGAGGUGGAGUGAAUCCCAAAAAGCCGGUCCCAGUUCGGACUGAGGUUUGCAACUUGACCUCAUGAAGUCGGAGUCGCUAGUAAUCGUAGAUCAGCAACGCUGCGGUGAAUACGUUCCCGGGUCUUGUACACACCGCCCGUCAAGUCAUGAAAGUCGGUAACACCUGAAGCCGGUGGCCUAACCCUUGUGGAGGGAGCCGUCGAAGGUGGGAUCGGUAAUUAGGAAUAAGUCGUAACAAGGUAGCCGU